UACGUAGGGUGCAAGCGUUGUCCGGAAUUAUUGGGCGUAAAGCGUCCGCAGGUGGCAAUGUAAGUCUGCUGUUAAAGAGUCUAGCUCAACUAGAUAAAAGCAGUGGAAACUACAUAGCUAGAGUACGUUCGGGGCAGAGGGAAUUCCUGGUGUAGCGGUGAAAUGCGUAGAGAUCAGGAAGAACACCAGUGGCGAAGGCGCUCUGCUAGGCCGUAACUGACACUGAGGGACGAAAGCUAGGGGAGCGAAUGGG
rnacentral:rRNA from 1 species